rnacentral:rRNA from 1 species
GAUGAACGCUGGCGGCGUGCCUAAUACAUGCAAGUCGAGCGAACGGACGAGAAUCUUGCUUCUCUGAUGUUAGCGGCGGACGGGUGAGUAACACGUGGAUAACCUACCUAUAAGACUGGGAUAACUUCGGGAAACCGGAGCUAAUACCGGAUGAUAUUUUGAACCGCAUGGUUCAAAAGUGAAAGACGGUCUUGCUGUCACUUAUAUAUGGAUCCGCGCUGCAUUAGCUAGUUGGUAAGGUAACGGCUUACCAAGGCAACGAUGCAUAGCCGACCUGAGGGGGUGAUCGGCCACACUGGAACUGAGACACGGUCCAGGCUCCUACGGGAGGCAGCAGUAGGGAAUCUUCCGAAAUGGGCGAAAGCCUGACGGAGCAACGCCGCGUGAGUGAUGAAGGUCUUCGGAUCGUAAAACUCUGUUAUUAGGGAAGAACAUAUGUGUAAGUAACUGUGCAAAUCUUGACGGUACCUAAUCAGAAAGCCACGGCUAACUACGUG